UCCAGGGAGGUGGCAACGAGGGGCGUCCAGGCUGGCUGGGGAAGAGGGUAGGGAGCAGAGCCCCGCAGGCUAGAAAGGAAGGGAACGCCAGAGCCGUCCCUGGCAAACGAGGAAUCUGGCAAGAAAGACCUGGAAAAAUGAGGGGCAUGGGGGAGGGGUGGGUCCUUAGAAGAUGGGGAAAGGCGCGGGGGGGCCCAUUCAGACACCGGGAAGAACGAGAAGGAGAGCGUUAACUAGGGACGAAGAUGGGAAUGCGAUGGCUAUUUGCUUAGUUUCUGAGCUAAAAAUACAGAAGGAAGCAGAGAGGACAGGCAAGGAUGUGAGUUUCCUCCAGUUAAAAGUGAAAGCGUUUUGCCAUCAGUGACAGUUGAAGAAGGGGGAGGUGGGGCGGUGUUUUCAAACCCCUUUCUCCUCUUCCCGUCCUCCCUUGGUCUCUCUUUUCUUUCUGCACUUUGUCCAAUGAAAGAAGGCGAGUUCGGGAGGUGAAAGUUCAACAGAAGGACAAACCCCUGUUUGCAAGGAAACAGAAACCCGCCGGAGAGGGGGUCUUCCCCCUGUGUUUCUGAAUCAGGAGAGUGUAAAUGUGGGACGAGCUUCUCCCCCCUGCCCUGUCAGAGUCAUUGCAGGAAUGUGUAGAUCCACUUUGGGGGAAAGUGGCUGCAGCAAGAGCUGUGUGCUUGCCGUGGCUUCUCUAAGGAAACCGCCCAGGGGCUAGCCUGUCAAUCAGUUGUUUAACACAAAGUACCUGCUCUCCCAGAGAUCUGUCACAUGCAGAAAACUGCGUCCCAUUCUUUGAAAAGACCCGGCACCCCAGAUGCUGCCAGACUUCCAAGCCAGCAUUUCCAGCUACUGACUGGAUAGUACAUCCAGCCAACUCUUUAUGACAAUAUAUUGAAAGCCAUCCCUGUGGAUUCCUACAAAGUACUUUGGGGUCAGGGGUGGGGGUGUGGAGAGUACUGUCCCAUUGGUCUUGAGACCAGCACAGUGGUAGGUAAUAAAUAUCCUGAAAAUGUUAGUAUAAAGUCUUUUUCAUGUCUUUCUAGAAAUGUUGUUAACCAUUCAUUUACAGAAUUUUAAAUCUCAAUUUCAGUAACAGCAAAAGACUACCCUUUGAAAACUGUAUCUGUUUUGCAAGUAAAAAAAUAACAAAGCUAUUAACUAUUGUAACAGAAUAAAGCCAGAGAAAGG